UGCAACUUUAGGAAGAAAACUAUUGGUUCCUUUUCAUAUUUUUUUUUUCUUUCUUUUCCUUUAGAUGUAAUAUACAUGUUGAUUCCAUUUCACUUCCAUUUUAGUCGUUAUAUCCCUAUGGAAUGGUACUGUAGCACCCACCAAUAUAUUGGAGACGAUAUACUGCUUCCCGAAAAGAAGAUACCAAGUUCAACUAUUGAGGAAAACGUGAAUAACGACGUAGAGUCGGUUUCCUCCGGGUGAUAGUAAAUCGGAGAUUUUGAAGUAAGGUGGCAGAGGAUUAAUUCUUGGCAUGUAAGAUUGGUGAAGCCCGAGACCUAAGUUAUGGUUAACUUAAGAAACUGACAAGGUACAGAUGACAGAUUUGCUGAACCGCCUGCCUAGGACAUCUAUUCUGCUAUUUUGGGAGUGCUCUUUUGUCCAGAGCCUAUAUGUUGGUACAGUCUGCUGUUAUUGUAUAUAUGUAUGUUAUUCAAGGGUAUGACGGGGCCCUGUCCCGUCUUAUGAUUCUGUUAUGAUCUGUAGAGGUCUGUAGACAUACUUGUGUGGGUUCUGUAUAUGUUUUGGGUUGUUAUGAUCGGUGAUGGCCUUAUCGGCCUCUACGUGCAAAAUCUGUUCAUCUGUGAUAUUUAGUAGCGCCAACUAACCUUUAUAUUAAUAUAUUUUGAUAA